rnacentral:rRNA from 1 species
GACGAACGCUGGCGGCGUGCCUAAUACAUGCAAGUCGAACGCUUCUUUCCUCCCGAGUGCUUGCACUCAAUUGGAAAGAGGAGUGGCGGACGGGUGAGUAACACGUGGGUAACCUACCCAUCAGAGGGGGAUAACACUUGGAAACAGGUGCUAAUACCGCAUAACAGUUUAUGCCGCGUGGCAUAAGAGUGAAAGGCGCUUUCGGGUGUCGCUGAUGGAUGGACCCGCGGUGCAUUAGCUAGUUGGUGAGGUAACGGCUCACCAAGGCCACGAUGCAUAGCCGACCUGAGAGGGUGAUCGGCCACACUGGGACUGAGACACGGCCCAGACUCCUACGGGAGGCAGCAGUAGGGAAUCUUCGGCAAUGGACGAAAGUCUGACCGAGCAACGCCGCGUGAGUGAAGAAGGUUUUCGGAUCGUAAAACUCUGUUGUUAGAGAAGAACAAGGACGUUAGUAACUGAACGUCCCCUGACGGUAUCUAACCAGAAAGCCACGGCUAACUACGUG